rnacentral:rRNA from 1 species
UACGUAGGCAGCAAGCGUUGUUCGGAAUUACUGGGCGUAAAGAGUGUGUAGGCGGUGCUCUAAGUUCGGUGUGAAAUCUCCCGGCUUAACUGGGAGGGUGCGCCGGAAACUGGAGUGCUUGAGCGCGGGAGAGGAAAGCGGAAUUCCUGGUGUAGCGGUGAAAUGCGUAGAUAUCAGGAGGAACACCUGUGGUGUAGACGGCUUUCUGGACCGUAGCUGACGCUGAGACACGAAGGCGUGGGUAGCAAACAGG